CCCCCCCCCCCCUCCUUGGACUGAGGCACUGCAGGCAUGUGGCUGUGUUUCCUGAAUCCAAGAUGCCAACUUUAAACACCCCUUCGGCAGCUUCUCCCACAUGUCUGCACACUCUUCCAAGUCAUCUCUUGGGUACUGAAAGGCGGAGAUGAUGAGAGAGAAGAAAGCAACAACAACAGCAACAACUGAAAGGACUGAAUCUACAUGCUCUGAGACAAGCUGACGUCCCCCCACACACAUCAGUGCCAGCCAGCCAGCCAUGACCAGAUAAGAAGAAAUGGAAUUCCUUAUCACUUAAAAAAAAAAAGAAAAGAAAAUCCUGCAAAAGGUCAAGGAGCCAACUCACUUCUGACACCAUAUCCAGUGUUCAAGGACAAAAGAAAAGAAUGCCAAAGCAGUGCAACAUCCUGACUUUAUCCUUCCUCCACACAUGCUGGUUUCCCUUAUCGAGUGCUUCCCAGAGGAUCCAUGACUGAAAGAGUAAGGCCUAGGGUUGGAAAGAUGAAGACAGUGGAUAUUUCCUGCCUGUGGAAAUCUCCUGCCUAACUUAAUUCAGGCUCACUCUUUAUCCCAACAUUGGAAUAGUAGGCAACUAGCAGAAGACCUGAAGCUUCAGAUCUGAUUAUAGUCGCUGUCUUAAUGGAAUACUGCAAGGGUUAUUAACAUGGCAAAGGCAAUGCAGAGUUUCCCGUCCUCCCCAUUGCCCGUGAAAGAAGAAAAUGAAGAGAUGAAUUCAUGACUUCUAGGGCCAGAUGGGACCCCAACAGCCCUCUAAGCUCAACCCCCUGGAUAUGCAGGCUGUAGAAUUUCUCCCAGAAGGUGGAUGAAAGCAUAUUUUUAGAAAGAUCUUUACUCUCAUUUUAACAACACUAAGCAAUAGUUAAUCCAACAAUCUGGUAAGCUCUUCCAGUGUUCAAUCCACCCCCCCCCCCCCCCCACUGCUACGAAACUGCAUUUUAUUUCAGGGUUGAAUUUCUCAAACUUCAAAUUCCAGCUCUCAUCAGCAAGAAUGAAAAGCCUCCCAGUAUCAGAUAACCUGCCCAUGAGUCAGUAUCUAUACAUAGCCAUCACAUCACCUCUCAACCUUUCCUUUGAUAAGCUGGAUUGACUGAUCUCCUUAAGGUUCAUAUCCCAAAGCUUGUCUUCCAGUCACUGAAUGAUUUUUGUACCCCUCUUUUGAAGUGUCAACACUGGGGGCUAGAUGCACAAAAAACACUUUGGUAUUGCAAGGGUCAGCAUUGAUACACCUAAAUUUUAGGUGCCAGGAUGCUGGGUGAAAUUCAUAGACACAGGAGCCUAGGCUUCUAUACAGCACAUGUGGAGAUUUACUUGUCUUAUAACAGUAUCCCACACAAGCCAGCAUGCUAAGUUUCCAACACUAGCUAGCAGGAAAUGUUCAAUCCUCAUAGAUUCAUAGAUGUUAGGGUCGGAAGGGACUUCAAUAGAUCAUCGAGUCCGACCCCCUGCAUAGGCAGGAAAGAGUGCUGGGUCUAGAUGACCCCAGCUAGAUGCUUAUCUAACCUCCUCUUGAAGACCCCCAGGGUAGGGGAGAGCACCACCCUCCCUUGGGAGCCCGUUCCAGACCUUGGCCACUCAAACUGUGAAGAAGUUCUUCCUAAUGUCCAGUCUAAAUCUGCUCUCUGCUAGCUUGUGGCCAUUGUUUCUUGUAACCUCUGGGGGUGCCUUGGUGAAUAAACCCUCACCAAUUCCCUUCUGUGCCCCCGUGAUGAACUUAUAGGCAGCCACAAGGUCGCCUCUCAACCUUCUCUUGCGGAGGCUGAAAAGGUCCAGUUUCUCUAGUCUCUCCUCGUAGGGCUUGGUCUGCAGGCCCUUAACCAUACGAGUGGCCCUUAUCUGGACCCUCUCCAGGUUAUCCACAUCCCUCUUGAAUUGUGGCGCCCAGAAUUGCACGCAGUACUCCAACUGCUGUCUGACCAGCGCCCGAUAGAGGGGAAGUAUCACCUCCUUGGAUCUAUUCAUCAUGCAUCUGCUGAUGCACGAUAAAGUGCCAUUAGCUUUUCUGAUGGCUUCGUCACACUGACGACUCAUGUUCAUCUUGGAGUCCACUAGGACUCCAAGAUCCCUUUCCACUUCCAUGCCACCCAGCAGGUCAUUCCCUAGGCUGUAGGUGUGCUGGACAUUUUUCCUCCCUAGGUGCAGCACUUUGCAUUUCUCCUUGUUGAACUGCAUUCUGUUGUUUUCUGCCCACUUAUCUAACCUGUCCAGGUCUGCCUGCAGCUGUUCCCUGCUCUCCGGCGUGUCCACUUCUCCCCAUAGCUUUGUGUCAUCUGCAAACUUGGACAGAGUACAUUUCACUCCCUCGUCCAAGUCACUGAUGAAGACAUUAAAGAGUAUCGGUCCAAGGACCGAGCCCUGCGGGACCCCUGUGCCCACACCCUUCCAGGUCGAAACCUCCUCCUUUCUCAGCAGUCAACUAAUCAUAGUAGCACCUUAGUUUGCACCCAUCAGUUUCCCUAGGUAUCUAAAUUCUGGUGUCUUGACAAUGCCAAGCAGUUCAGUACCUACCUCAUGGACAAACUUCAUCAUGGUUCACUUUAGUAGCCAUUCUCUGGAGAUCUUGUCCAAUCUGCCUGAUGUUACAAGAGCACAGUGCUUUACACACCAUUCAAUUCAGAGGAGGAGCAGGCUUGUGUCUCCUUUUAGCUUAGUGGCUGGAGUGCUCACAUGUGCCAUGGAAGACCUGGGUUCCAAUUCUGCCCUCACCUGAGAGGACGUGGCCCCAGCAUCUCCCAGAAAAGUGCUCUAACCAUAGUGCUACCAGAUACUCUAGGAGGGUCUCUCUCAUCCCCUGUGCAAUCUGGUCAGUUUCCAUGAAAUAAUUCAAUAUUAUGGGGUGAGGGAGAGAGCAAGUGAAGAAGCCUGAAUAGUUUAGGGGUUAGGAAAGGCACCUAUUAGGUGAGAAACCUGGGUUCCUGUCUCAGUUCCAGUAACUAUUUAAUUUUUCCAUACAAAAUCCCAUGAAGCCUUCCCUAAAUCGCUGCACUUCAAGACAAUCUCCCAUUUUGCACAUGUAAUCUGCAUCUUUUUGCCCAGUUCCAUCACCUUGCAUUCAUCCUGUUAAAAUACAGUCUGCUGCCCUAUGAUCACGGGAUUCAGGGUAACAGUACCAUCUCCUCUGCAUUAUUGGUUACCUUGCCAAUCUUGGUAUCAUCACAAAAGACUCUGUGUCAUUGUCUAGAUUACUGACAAAACACUCAAUAUUGCUGGAAAAAAGCCAGCCCUUGGGACAGCUGAACAGGACCCUACAUAAGGGUCCAGGUAGAAUAAGUCACAAAAGGUUUCUUUAAGGCGAGGUACCAAUUGGGCAGAAGUGAGGAGGGAGUCCAUAUCAUUCAUAUGACAUUUAAGGCAGCAUUAGAGCAUCUAAAUCAGAACUAUGUGAUUAUCUUUCAGCCUUCUGUUGGCUUGGAAAUGGUAUUUAAAGGUUUAGUUUGCAAAUUGGCUUAUAGGCAAUAUAUAUAUGCAUUAGAAUAAUGGUUAUAGCAGCAAGGGUUAAUUGAUUUUUAAAGAGCUCGGGUUUCAAAGUCACACAGGUUUUCCAGCCUUCAGAAGCAGACAGGGUAUCUAGCCCAGGCAGGAAAGCAACGGGUUGUGAAAAUAGGGUUUUGUCUGACAACACGAGACAUGUCACUAUGACCAACCAGCGACAGCCAUGGAACAAGAGUCAUUAGAAGUCACCAGGAAAAGAAAGAAUACAAAAGAAAGAGUUUUCAAAACAGAGGAGAGGAAAGCAGUUGGCAUCAGCCCCUAACCUCCAAAGCUGCUGAUGUUGGACACUCAAGCAAAGGACGUCAAGGUGGCGUUUACGUACCAGCUGGAUGGACUGCUCACCUUGUGUAUAUUCUGGGACUAGGGCAUUUGGGUAAUGUAUGCUGUACUUGUUUUGCCUGCAUUGCUUUUAUUCCCUAUCACUGUGUAUCAAUAAACUCGCCUAUUAUCAACCA